rnacentral:rRNA from 1 species
GUUUGAUCAUGGCUCAGAACGAACGCUGGCGGCGCGCUUAACACAUGCAAGUCGAGCGGACCCGCAAGGGUCAGCGGCGAACGGGUGAGUAACACGUGGAUAAUCUGCCCUGAAGACCGGGAUAACUCGGCGAAAGCCGAGCUAAUACUGGAUAAGCAUCCGACGAGGCAUCUCGAUGGGUGAAAAGUGGCAACACACUUCAGGAUGAGUCCGCGGCCCAUCAGCUAGUUGGCGGGGUAAAGGCCCACCAAGGCAACGACGGGUAGCUGGUCUGAGAGGACGACCAGCCACACUGGAACUGAGACACGGUCCAGACUCCUACGGGAGGCAGCAGUGGGGAAUCUUGCGCAAUGGGCGAAAGCCUGACGCAGCGACGCCGUGUGUGCGACGAAGGUCUUCGGAUCGUAAAGCACUGUCGCGAGGGAAGAAGCCGAAAGGGUGACGGUACCUCGAAAGGAAGCACCGGCUAACUCUGUGCCAGCAGCCGCGGUAAUACAGAGGGUGCGAGCGUUGUUCGGAAUUAUUGGGCGUAAAGCGCGAGUAGGCGGUCUGUUAAGUCGCGUGUGAAAGCUCCCAGCUCAACUGGGAAAGUGCGCGCGAAACUGGUGGACUUGAGUGCUGGAGAGGGUGGCGGAAUUCCCGGUGUAGAGGUGAAAUUCGUAGAUAUCGGGAGGAACACCAGAGGCGAAGGCGGCCACCUGGAAAGACACUGACGCUGAGAAGCGAAAGCGUGGGGAGCAAACAGGAUUAGAUACCCUGGUAGUCCACGCCGUAAACGAUGAGUGCUAGCUGUGGCGGGAGUUGACCCCUGCCGUGGCGACGCUAACGCAAUAAGCACUCCGCCUGGGGAGUACGGCCGCAAGGUUAAAACUCAAAGGAA